UCGUAACAAGGUUUCCGUAGGUGAACCUGCGGAAGGAUCAUUACUGAGUGAGGGUCCCUCGGGGCCCAACCUCCCACCCGUGUAUACCGUACCUUGUUGCUUCGGCGGGCCCGCCGCGCAAGCGGCCGCCGGGGGGGCGUCAAACCCCCCUCCCUAGGCGAGCGCCCGCCGGAGACACCAACGUGAACACUGUCUGAAGUUUUGUUGUCUGAGUUCGAUUGUAUCGCAAUCAGUUAAAACUUUCAACAAUGGAUCUCUUGGUUCCGGCAUCGAUGAAGAACGCAGCGAAAUGCGAUAAUUAAUGUGAAUUGCAGAAUUCAGUGAAUCAUCGAGUCUUUGAACGCACAUUGCACCCCCUGGUAUUCCGGGGGGUAUGCCUGUCCGAGCGUCAUUGCUGCCCUCAAGCACGGCUUGUGUGUUGGGUCGUCGUCCCCCCCGGGGACGGGCCCGAAAGGCAGCGGCGGCACCGCGUCCGGUCCUCGAGCGUAUGGGGCUUUGUCACCCGCUCUUGUAGGCCCGGCCGGCGCUGGCCGACGCUGAAAAGCAACCAACUAUUUCUCCAGGUUGACCUCGGAUCAGGUAGGGAUACCCGCUGAACUUAAGCAUAUCAAUAA
rnacentral:misc_RNA from 1 species